GGAUGUAGUUCAGCUGGUUAGAACGCCGGAUUGUGGAUCCGGAGGUCGGGGGUUCGAAUCCCCUCAUC
rnacentral:tRNA from 1 species